UGGCUCAGUGGUAGAGCGCUUGCCUUUCAUGCAUGAGGCCCUGGGUUCAAUUCCUCAG
rnacentral:tRNA from 1 species